rnacentral:rRNA from 1 species
UUACAAUGGAGAGUUUGAUCCUGGCUCAGGAUGAACGCUAGCGGCAGGCCUAAUACAUGCAAGUCGAGGGGCAGCACAGGUAGCAAUACCGGGUGGCGACCGGCAAACGGGUGCGGAACACGUACGCAACCUUCCUUUAAGCGGGGAAUAGCCCAGAGAAAUUUGGAUUAAUACCCCAUAAGAAUGUGAUCUGGCAUCAGGUAGCAUUUAAAGAUUUAUCACUUAAAGAUGGGCGUGCGUCUGAUUAGGUAGUUGGUGAGGUAACGGCUCACCAAGCCGACGAUCAGUAACUGGCGU